rnacentral:lncRNA from 1 species
AUGGUGGUGCAAAGCCCGGCCUUGUGCAACGCACGAGUGCAAACUCUUUGUGCAAUGGCACUUGUUACACGAGGCCACGUGCAACACUACGGUGCAAGGGCCUCAUGCACCAGGUUGCCAAUUGAUAGUGCAAGGCCUCGUGCAACACAGUGUCCUUGUUCAAAGGGCUCGUGCAACACUAAAGAGGUGCAUGCACAAAGGCGUCGUGCAACAGCCUGCUUGCACAAGAGGUGCCCCCUUGUGCAACAGGCUCUUGCACGAGCUCUUGUGCAAAAACAGGGGGCAUUGUGCAGUCGCCCUUGUGCAAGAACAGGGAUCUUUGUUCACCCCCUCUUUUGCACGAGGGCACAUUGUGAACAAGAGCUCGUGCAACGGGACUUGUGCACCACCCCUUGUGCAAGACGGGUGCCCUUUGUGCACCAACAUUGUGCACGAGGACACCGAGACCUUGUGCAAUGGGACUUGUGCACCAGCCCUCGUGCAAGAAGGGUCCCGUUGUGCACCAACAUUGUUCACAAGGACACCAUCAUGCACAAGAGCUUGUGCAAUGGGACUCGUGCACCACUCCUUGUGCAAGAAGGGGGCAAUUUGUGCACCAAUAUUGUGCACGAGGGCACCGAGACCUUGUGCUAUGGGACUUGUGCACCAGCCCUUGUGCAAGAAGGGGUCCCGUUGUGCACUAAUAUUUUUCACGAGGACACCAUCGUGCACAAACGCUCGUGCAAUGGGACUUGUGCACCACUCCUUGUGCAAGAAGGGGGCAAUUUGUGCACCAAUAUUGUGCACGAGGGCACCGAGAGCUCGUGCAAUGGGACUUGUGCACCACCCCUUGUGCAAGAAGGGGUCCUUGUGAACAAUAUUGGUGCACAACAGGACACUUCUUGCACAAGGGCUGGUGCACGAGCCCCAUUGCACGAGCUCUUGUGCACAGUGGUGUACAAGACGGGUGCACCAACAUUGUACACACGAACAUCCCUUGUGCAGCAUCACUCGUGCAAGGCCACGAUCCUCGUGCAACAGACACUACGUGUGCAACAAAGACCCACUUGUGCACCAGGUCCCGUUGUGCACCAAUAUUGUUCGCAAGGGCACGAUUGUGCACAAGAGCUCGUGCAAUGGGUCUCGUGCACCAGCCCUUGUACAAGACGCGUGCAAGACCAUGAUCCUCGUGCAACAGACACUACGCGUGCAACAAAGUCCCAUUUGUGCAACAGCCCUUGUGCAAGAAGGGGUCCUGUUGUGCACCAACAUUGUGCACGAGGAUACCAAGAGCUUGUGCACGACUCCUCGUGCAUGACUCCUUGUGCAAGGGGGGGCCACAUCGUGCAAGACCAUCGUGCACACGGACAACCCUUGUGCAAAAGCACUCGUGCAAGACCAUGA